GUCUUGCAUGAUUUAGAAUUUUAGUUUCUUGUGUAUAAUUCGGAGUUUAGUAUGACGUCCAUUAUCACUGUACUAGUAUACAUAUUUUUUAAGGGGCCAGCUGAAGGACUCAAGAUUACGGGUGCGGGAGUUUCUCGCUACAUUGAAGACCCAUUGGUGGCCUUCGGCUGUUGUCUGCUCUAUUGUCGGGUUGUUGUCGCUUUGACACAUUCCCCAUUUCCUUUCUCAAUUUUAUUAGACUAAUAGCUGACUAUGCGGUAUAGGCUUUGCUCAUUGUUGAAGACCGUACGGUGAACUAUAGUUGUUAAUUUCUGUGUCAUUUGGUUUCUUGUGAAGAGUUGUCUAGUUUUUUAUCAUACCACAUCAUCUUUUUUU
rnacentral:lncRNA from 1 species